CAGAUUAUUGCUAUGGCAACAUCUACAUUCCUAUCGCCGUAGUACUCUGUGAAGCGUUGCUGCUUUCGAUUGCUUUAAAUGUCUACUUCAUUUGCAUGACAAGAUGCAGAGACCCGUGCCAGAACUUUUACAAUCAUUAUAUUUCUGUCUGGUGCAGUCGUGGGACAGCGACUGAGCCUGAGCAAUCAGACGACCAGGUUCCAGCCGACACGCAAUACUCUGUACUGAAUGUUCCAGAAGACAAAAAUAAUCACGAGGAAGAAUCAGAAGUGAACCCCAGUGAGGGCUGUGUGUACUCAGCUGUGAAACACUAGAAAAGGAGACCCCAUCAUAAACAUAUGCUAACAUUGGUGAUAUGAUCUGUUUUUUAACCCCGUCUCUCUCUGUUACUGUUUUGCAUUUUUGUUUGGAUUUGUAUUUAAUCUGUCUGGGAUGUGUAUUCAAGCAGGUGUUGAACGGUUUUCUGAAUAUGUAAAAGUUUCAAAUGUUGGAGGGGAUUUGUAUUAUUAUUGUUAUGAAAUAUAAUUGUGAACUACUGUUGAUUAGUUGCAUUGGUGGUGCAGAUCUGUGUCUUCUAGCUGAAUGCAAAUGAGCAUCUGUGGUUACACGAGCAGCGUCAACAGUUGCCCUUUGCUAUUCAUUUAGCCGUUGUGUAGGCUUCAAUGCGUUGGUCUCAAACUGCACAGUUUAGCUUCAACCGUAAUCAAACACACCAUUCGAGGUCUUUAGGAUUAUUAGAAACGGCCAAGCGGAUGUGAUUUGGAGCUGGUUGGAGCUUAACUGCCCCUGAGACCGCAGCUUUAGUGUGAUGUAGGUUUGUUUUCUUGUGUUUCAUUCGGACCGGUGCCGAGUUGUAAAUUCACCAUUUAUCAAAUCUGAAAGACGAGAAAAAAACAAUAGUUAUCGCCUUACUUACCUACUUGAUUGUUUUGCUAAUUGCAAACAUUUUUUUAUUUUAAUGUUGUUAAAGUUGUUGUUUUAAUGUUCUUUUUUUUUAAGUUUAAAUAUGCAAAUACAUGUUACAUUUCUACAUUUCGAAUCCAUUUGUACACCGGAAGAAGCCAGUUUUUUUAGUUCUUAUUUAAUUUGUUUGACGUAUUAGAGUCAAAAGUUUUUACAGAGGGCAUUUUUGUGUGUCUCAUUUAAUCAGAAAAUACUUAUGAAAACAGACAGAAAACAAUGCAUUUUAUUGGGGGAAUAAAA